ACAUCAACAGCAUGCAGCACUCUUCAGCAGAAGACAGUUUUCAGAUGUGAACAGACACAUUUUAUCUUUGUGGAAAAGUGUUGUGGCAAUCACAGACAU